rnacentral:tRNA from 1 species
AAUUAUAUAGUCUAAAAAGGAUAUUAAAUUGCAAAUUUAAAGGUAAAAGUUUUUAUAAUUU